AAAGAAACCAACAGGGAUUGCCCUAGUAACGGCGAGUGAAGCGGCAACAGCUCAAAUUUGAAAUCUGGCCCUCGGGUCCGAGUUGUAAUUUGUAGAGGAUGCUUUUGGUGAGGUGCCUUCCGAGUUUCCUGGAACGGGACGCCAUAGAGGGUGAGAGCCCCGUCUGGUUGGACACCGAGCCUCUGUAAAGCUCCUUCGACGAGUCGAGUAGUUUGGGAAUGCUGCUCUAAAUGGGAGGUAUAUGUCUUCUAAAGCUAAAUACCGGCCAGAGACCGAUAGCGCACAAGUAGAGUGAUCGAAAGAUGAAAAGCACUUUGAAAAGAGAGUUAAAAAGUACGUGAAAUUGUUGAAAGGGAAGCGCUUAUGACCAGACUUGGGCUUGGUUGAUCAUCCUGGGUUCUCCCUGGUGCACUCUUCCAGUUCAGGCCAGCAUCAGUUCGCUGCGGGGGAUAAAAGUUUUGGGAAUGUGGCUCCCUCGGGAGUGUUAUAGCCCAUUUCAUAAUACCCUGCUCCGGACUGAGGUUCGCGCAUCUGCAAGGAUGCUGGCGUAAUGGUCAUCAGCGACCCGUCUUGAAACACGGACCAAGGAGUCGUCUUCGUAUGCGAGUGUUCGGGUGUUAAACCCCUACGCGUAAUGAAAGUGAACGCAGGUGAGAGCUUCGGCGCAUCAUCGACCGAUCCUGAUGUUCUCGGAUGGAUUUGAGUAAGAGCAUACGGGGCCGGACCCGAAAGAAGGUGAACUAUGCCUGUAUAGGGUGAAGCCAGAGGAAACUCUGGUGGAGGCUCGCAGCGGUUCUGACGUGCAAAUCGAUCGUCAAAUAUGGGCAUGGGGCGAAAGACUAAUCGAACCUUCUAGUAGCUGGUUUCCGCCGAAGUUUCCCUCAGGA
rnacentral:rRNA from 1 species